GCCCGGUUAGCUCAAUCGGUAGAGCGUGAGACUCUUACGAGUACGCGAUCUCAAGGUUGCGGGUCGACCCCCGCAUCGGGCU
rnacentral:tRNA from 1 species